GGUGUGGUGGCUCAGUGGAAGAGCCUCCACUUUGCAUGCGAAAGGUGCCAGGUUCAAUCCUUGGUCUCUCCA
rnacentral:tRNA from 1 species